UAUUGCUUGUUUUCUGUGUUUUCAGGAGGGGAAAGAAGCACAGUGUGAUUUUACGCACUCAGCUGAGCGUCCGAGUUCACGCAUGUAUCGAGAAGCUGUAUAACUCCAAUGGCCGUGACCUGAGGAGGGCGCUGUUUUCCCUCAAGCAGAUAUUCCAGGACGAUAAGGACCUGGUUCAUGAGUUCGUUAUGGCUGAAGGUCUGACGUGUUUAAUUAAGGUCGGCGCUGAAGCGGAUCAGAACUACCAGAACUACAUCCUCAGAGGUUCGUUUGCUUCGUUUGCAUCCUUAGA